rnacentral:rRNA from 1 species
UACGUAGGGUGCAAGCGUUGUCCGGAUUUAUUGGGCGUAAAGAGCUCGUAGGCGGUCUGUCGCGUCGAAUGUGAAAGCCCAGGGCUCAACCCUGGGUCUGCAUUCGAUACGGGCAGACUAGAGUAUGGCAGGGGAGACUGGAAUUCCUGGUGUAGCGGUGAAAUGCGCAGAUAUCAGGAGGAACACCGGUGGCGAAGGCGGGUCUCUGGGCCAAAACUGACGCUGAGGAGCGAAAGCGUGGGGAGCGAACAGG